GUCAUUAUCAAACCGUCCGAUAAAGGCGGCAAUGUAGUGUUAUGGCCCCUAGAAAUGUAUGAGAGGGAGAUGCUACGCCAACUACGACAAGGCGACUGUUAUGAAAAACUUACUUUUAAUCCUACCUUAAGGUUUUUAUCUGAAUUAAAUAUUAUUUUAAACCAAGCAGUCGACCAAGGCAUUUUAUCAGCCAAACAGAUGGAGGCCCUUUUACCAAAAAAUCCUACGGUAUCCUCCAUCUAUUUACUCCCUAAAAUACACAAAAGUGCCACCUGUCCGCCGGGUAGACCAAUUGUGUCUGGCUGUGGAAAUUUAUGUGAACCGCUAUGCCGCCUCAUUGAUUAUCAUCUAACCUCUAUUGUAGAGACCCUGCCAUCUUUUUUAAAAGACACCAAUGAUGUGCUAAGAAAAUUAGACAACCUGCAACUCGAAUCCGAUAUGGUUAUAGCUACCUGUGAUGUGGAGGCACUCUACACUUCUAUCCGACAUAGUGACGGAAUACGAGCGACCUUUUUAGAAAAAGCACUUCUGCCAACACUAUACUUCAUGCAAAAUCCGGACACCCACGACAUCUAGUGAAUAACAUCCCAACUGGACAAUAUCUUCGGGCACGACGCAUCUGUUCCAAUACCUCGGACUUCGAGAAACAAGCUGAAGAUCUUCAGGUUAAAAGACCUACCACCAAACAGGAUUCCGAUACCGUCAGAUUCAUCACAACAUACCAUUCACGGACCCAAGAUAUGAACACAGCAAUUGCAAAAUACUGGCCCUUACUUACGACAGACCAGGUUCGGGGCAUUGAUCGGGUCUAUGCUGGCCCACGUGGCGGCAAUUGGAAAACUCUUCUUGCUCAAAAGGAAUGUAAAUGGAUCGAAAUUUUGGGAACAAAAACUCCUGCUGGAUUGAACGAGAUCAACAGUUUUGCCUCCUAUUUGGUCUACAAUACAUCUUGCUCAUCAUCCUAUCUAUAUGGCGGGAGACCCCUUUCCUUCCUUCUCCCUCUUCUUCUCCCAUGUUCCCCAUCCUUAUGUACUAUUCGACAUAUCUUUAAUAUAUUUAUUAUUGUUGUUAUUAUCAGUAGCGUUGUCCAAUUAACUAUCUGUGGAUGGUUCAUGUAUGCAUGUUCAUACAAUAUUGAUUUGUUUUUCUUAAUUAUGUUUAAAGCUAUAUGGGGGGCCCCCCACCUUAUUAUGUAUGUUUAUUCAUAGGUUAUUUAUAAUUAUCAAUAUUUGGCUAUUAUAUUACCAUCCUCUUUUAUUGAUGUACAAUUCAUCUAUUAUGUACAUUUCAUUUAUCACGCCCCUCUCUAUUGGUUCCCAUACCCUAUCACUUGGCAAUAUUAAUGUAUUAAUUAUUUCCCAUACUUAUCACAUUCAUUUAUUUAUCUCAUCACUUCCACUCACUCACCCUUUUAGCAUCAAAUCCCAUUGCAUAUUUGCACACCCAGGUCUAUCACAUUAUAUUAUCCCUAUUCACACCUCCCCCCCUUCUCCUUCCCUUCUAUUUCUCCCUGCCCUUUCACCAUUUUGCACAUGUUGUUUAUUCCCACGUGCACACACAGAUCCUUACACAUUUUCUGUAUCACAUACAUCCUAUAUGGUUGAUUCAAUUUAGAUCCUACCUUUUUCCCCCCCAUUAAGUAUUACCUUUCACACACCACUUCAUUCCCUUAAUUUAUUAUCGGCAUUCAGCCAUUUUAGUGAGGCCACAGGCAUUUUUUGCCUCUAGGGACCGGGCCCGGCGCACAUGCGCAAUAUCAUAGCAUACGGCCAUGUUUAUGUGGCCUGCGCCAUUAGUUCCAUCCUUGCGCGUCUCUGGCUCCCUGUAUGGGAGUCGAGCCAGCAUACAUGCGCAGUAGUGUACCCCAGGCGAGGACGGCUUACACGGCCCUCCUCUCGCGAGAUCCCGGUCUCAUUCACAUGAGCUGAUCCGCUCAUGUGACCUGACGCUAUUUCCGGUUUACAUCACCCAGUGUCUCGUAACAGGUGCGUUCCUCACUCCCCAUUGGCAUACACAUACUACUUAUAGCGAGGCUAUCCCAGUCCACCUCACUCCUUGACAAAGCCGCUUCCGGCGAAACGCAUCGGAGUUGUGGAGGUGGAUUGGGGUGAGUCCUGUGCCAGCUUAUACCAAACCGUUUCUUCCCUGCAUACUACUCUUUGCUGCUAGUCACCACUCAAACUUGCUGCUAUCUAUCUGCUGCUAUCUAUAUUAUUGCUGCCCAUUGCCUGUUGGUUGUUAUUGCUUAUUAUCAGCACUAUACUGUGUGACCCAGGUGAUAUUAUUCCCCCCUUUUUUUAGGCUGCAUGUUCAAGUCCUUGUCCACUUCAUUUGCACGGUUAAUUAAUUUUUUAAUUUUUUGCACUUGUUGCAACUCACUUGAGUGUUAUGUUUUAUUCAUUUGCUUUCUGCCUUGGUUAUUAAUCAAUAAUUCUAUCACAUAUAUUUGUUUGCCCUCACCGGCCAUUGCGUGGUAAUUUAAUUCCACAAGUAUUGCACAUUUUUUUUGCACAUAUUUUGCACGACGCCCUUCCCCCCUCCUUCCCCUCACCUUGUGCAUGCAACCCCUGCAGAUAUUAAUUUAUAAUUUAUUUAUUAUUACCAAUCUACUUAUUUAUAACCAUUAAUUGCAGCUCAAUACUAGCAUUGUGACUUCUUAAAGAACUAUUUUAUCUCUUUAUCUAUUUUAUUGGCAUACAGGCUCUCUCACCCCAGCAUCCACCUUAUACUUUUAUACUUAUACUUUUAUAUAUCCUCUAUUUUUAUA